rnacentral:rRNA from 1 species
GACGAACGCUGGCGGCGUGCCUAAUACAUGCAAGUCGAGCGCAGGAAGCCAUCUGAACCCUUCGGGGGGACGACGGUGGAAUGAGCGGCGGACGGGUGAGUAACACGUAAAGAACCUGCCCAUAGGUCUGGGAUAACCACGAGAAAUCGGGGCUAAUACCGGAUGUGUCAUCGGACCGCAUGGUCCGCUGAUGAAAGGCGCUCCGGCGUCGCCCAUGGAUGGCUUUGCGGUGCAUUAGCUAGUUGGUGGGGUAACGGCCCACCAAGGCGACGAUGCAUAGCCGACCUGAGAGGGUGAUCGGCCACACUGGGACUGAGACACGGCCCAGACUCCUACGGGAGGCAGCAGUAGGGAAUCUUCCACAAUGGACGAAAGUCUGAUGGAGCAACGCCGCGUGAACGAUGAAGGCUUUCGGGUCGUAAAGUUCUGUUGUAAGGGAAGAACAAGUGCCGCAGGCAAUGGCGGCACCUUGACGGUACCUUGCGAGAAAGCCACGGCUAACUACGUGCCAGCAGCCGCGGUAA